rnacentral:rRNA from 1 species
GAUUUUGGACAAUGGGGGAGACCCCGAUCCAGCCAUCCCGCGUGUAUGAUAAAGGCCAUCGCGGUGUAAAGAACUCUUGGCGGAGGAGAAAAAGUGCCUGCAAAUACCAGGUACUGCCGACGGUAUCAGCAGAAUAAGCACCGGCUAACAACGUGCGAGCAGCCGCGGUAAUACGUAGGGUGCAAGCGUUAAACGGAAUUACUGGGCGUAAAGCGUGUGUAGGCGGUUCGGAAAGAAAGAUGUGAAAGCCCAGGGCCCAACCUUGGAACUGCAUUUUUAACUGCCGAGCUAGAGUAUGUCAGAGGGGGGUAGAAUUCCACGUGUAGCAGUGAAAUGCGUAGAUAUGUGGAGGAAUACCGAUGGCGAAGGCAGCCCCCUGGGAUAAUACUGACGCUCAGACACGAAAGCGUGGGGAGCAAACAG